CAGGUUUCUAGCAGGCCAAGGGCAGGGCCUGGUCUAGAAUAGAAAGUUGACAGACAACAGAACACCGUGCUUAAGCCGGACUGAGAGAAUGGAAAAACUGAUCCACAGGAGGUCCGCCCUGCCAAUUCAGCGGCAGUUGGAGGAAGUGCUUUCAAAAUAUAAUGUGUGGAGGCUGGCAGACCAGCACAGGAAGACAUGCCAAAGCUUGCAAGCUCCCUAUCUAAGACAGGGUGGAUUCCACAUGGCUAAAUCAUAGCUUUUCAAAAGGUUCUUGAAGUCGGAGAUUCGAUUAUUGAUGUGAAACUUUUCUUCUUUUCUAAGAUGAAGAUACUGAGGAAUAAAGAAGUUACAGAUUGGCUUAGUUUUGUAUUUCAUCAGUGUCAGAUACAUGCCAGGCACCUGGUAAGUAUUUAUUGAAUCAAUUUGCUUGUAGGCCUGUUAAUAUUUUCUAGCAGAACCCACUUACAUCGUUGAUUUUAUUCAGUAAGAAGAAAUUUUGAGAAUCUAUUUAGAGGAAAAAACAUUUGCUUGC